AUUGAACGCUGGCGGCAGGCCUAACACAUGCAAGUCGAGCGGAUGAAGGGAGCUUGCUCCUGGAUUCAGCGGCGGACGGGUGAGUAAUGCCUAGGAAUCUGCCUGGUAGUGGGGGAUAACGUCCGGAAACGGGCGCUAAUACCGCAUACGUCCUGAGGGAGAAAGUGGGGGAUCUUCGGACCUCACGUUAUCAGAUGAGCCUAGGUCGGAUUAGCUAGUUGGUGGGGUAAAGGCCUACCAAGGCGACGAUCCGUAACUGGUCUGAGAGGAUGAUCAGUCACACUGGAACUGAGACACGGUCCAGACUCCUACGGGAGGCAGCAGUGGGGAAUAUUAGGCAAUGGGCGAAAGCCUGAUCCAGCCAUGCCGCGUGUGUGAAGAAGGUCUUCGGAUUGUAAAGCACUUUAAGUUGGGAGGAAGGGCAGUAAGUUAAUACCUUGCUGUUUUGACGUUACCAACAGAAUAAGCACCGGCUAACUUCGUG
rnacentral:rRNA from 1 species